UACGUAGGGGGCAAGCGUUGUCCGGAUUUGUUGGGCGUAAAGCGCGUGUAGGCGGCCAGAUAGGUCUGCUGUGAAAACUCGAGGCUCAACCUCGAGCUGUCGGCGGAAACCAUCUGGCUAGAGUCCGGAAGAGGAGAGUGGAAUUCCUGGUGUAGCGGUGAAAUGCGCAGAUAUCAGGAAGAACACCUAUGGCGAAGGCAGCUCUCUGGGACGGUACUGACGCUGAGACGCGAAAGCGUGGGGAGCGAACAGG
rnacentral:rRNA from 1 species